rnacentral:rRNA from 1 species
GAUGAACGCUGGCGGCGUGCCUAAUACAUGCAAGUCGAGCGAACAGACGAGGAGCUUUCUCCUCUGACGUUAGCGGCGGGCGGGUGAGUAACACGUGGAUAACCUACCUAUUAGACUGGGAUAACUUCGGGAAACCGGAGCUAAUACCGGAUAAUAUAUUGAACCGCAUGGUUCAAUAGUGAAAGACGGUUUUGCUGUCACUUAUAGAUGGAUCCGCGCCGCAUUAGCUAGUUGGUAAGGUAACGGCUUACCAAGGCAACGAUGCGUAGCCGACCUGAGAGGGUGAUCGGCCACACUGGAACUGAGACACGGUCCAGACUCCUACGGGAGGCAGCAGUAGGGAAUCUUCCGCAAUGGGCGAAAGCCUGACGGAGCAACGCCGCGUGAGUGAUGAAGGUCUUCGGAUCGUAAAACUCUGUUAUUAGGGAAGAACAAAUGUGUAAGUAACUAUGCACGUCUUGACGGUACCUAAUCAGAAAGCCACGGCUAACUACGUG